GUGCCCGCCUGCCUGGGGUCUGCCGCGCUGCCCGCCUGGGGAAGAGUGCGACGGCAUUUGGGGCGGUGGCCGCCGACCCCGGGCCCAGGAAGGGGCAGGCCCCAGAGCUAAGGGAAGAACCGAGAUUUCCUGGUCACCAAAGCGCGCAAGAAGGAAGCCUGGAGCUCGCCCUCCGUUCCGCAGAGUGCUGCGUAGGAAAGGUGUGAAAACCCUCCGUGCUUUCCAGUACAGACCCAGGAACAGGGCUGAACUCCGCGCACGGUGUCACCGCGAAAGAAUCAGAAGUAUGAAAAAUGACUUUCCAUAGUAAACCAUGAAAAUGGAGUUAACACCUUCAGCAUCAGAGGCAACCAACCGGUCACCUCCACAGUCACAGAAGCCCUGCACGUUACACGGUGUUCUGCGGGCUCCCUGUAGAAGAGCGGCUCCUGCUUUGCCUUUGAUGCACACAUUUUGUACUUGGUCUCUCACCUGUCCGUCAGGGGCCACACCUGAACCUGCCAUCACAUGCAGAACCUCACGAAAAACCCAGUGCCAACCUCUACUUUUAGGACCAUGAAGAAAGAAAGAACUUUUAAGUUUUUAGUGACAUUCUUUUGUCUUAAGGAAAACAAGGCAGAAGCAUUAUCUUAGUUUGCCAAAGCUAGGCUGGGGGAAGGGAUCUGUGAUAGUUCUGAUUUCACUGAGUUUCCAGAUAAGGAACACCGCUGACAUUUUUAAUUCCCCCCUCAUUUUCUUACUUUAAAUAUAUAUAGUAAGAAAAUCUUAAUCCUGAGAGAGCUCAGAUACCAGAAACCCAGGGAACAGUGAAGGAAGCCCUGGGUUCCGCACCAUCUCAUCCCAGAGGUGAGAAGGUCACUGCUAUGGUGAGGAUGGGACUCCCCACAGGGCCAGACGCCAGAGCUCUCUGCUCACAGGACUCUGGCAGGCCUGCGAGGCAAGCGGUGACCCUUAGAGCGGACACCUGACUUCGGAGACCCAAGACUUAAUCACUGAGUCUCAAGCUCUAAGUUGCCUAACCAGUUGGACCACAUUUAUUAGUUAUAAAUCGCAUAAAGGAAGAUACAUUUAAAUGGAUGGGUAUUUUUCUUCCUUACACGUUUCUCCAGUUUUUAGAAAUGAAAAAUCAUGGGGGGAAAUCAUACCACCUUUAUUUAUCAAAUGAGGGAAAGGCCAACACAGAAAAUACUGACAGGACUGCUUGGGCACCUGGGCGGCACCCCCUGGCACACACACCUGGGUGACUUCCCAAGCCCACCCCUGCUGGACCCUGAUGCAUCUGCUGGCAUUCAUCUGGUCAGGUUCUGUUCCAAGCACAUUAUGUCGGUGAAUUCAGAGGACUCUAUUCAUAUGUACAAAAAUACAAUUUGCUUUGGAGAGCUGGAAAAGGGUUAAUACGUACAACACUUAUUUACAAGCUGCGACUUUCACACCAAUAAAAACACAUUUAUUUUGUCCUUGA